UACGGAGGAUGCGAGCGUUAUCCGGAUUUAUUGGGUUUAAAGGGUGCGUAGGCGGACUGUCAAGUCAGCGGUAAAAUACGGGGGCUCAACCUCCGCCCGCCGUUGAAACUGACGGUCUUGAGUGGGCGAGAAGUAUGCGGAAUGCGUGGUGUAGCGGUGAAAUGCAUAGAUAUCACGCAGAACUCCGAUUGCGAAGGCAGCAUACCGGCGCCCAACUGACGCUGAAGCACGAAAGCGUGGGUAUC
rnacentral:rRNA from 1 species